CAAGUCUUUGACUUGUCUCGAGGUAUGAACCUUCCCGUGCUUUUUAGAACAUAGAUGGGAUCAGUCAGAUCACCAUCGCAACGCAAUACGCUGCAGAGACUUCGGUCCAGACAGUAUGGCGAGCUUUCGCCGUCCACGUUUCUCUUUCUUCAAGAAGACAAAGAACCGCGUCGACCGGUUUGACGAGAAUGGGCCCGUAGCUCAGUUGGUUAGAGCACACGCUUGAUAAGCGUGGGGUCGGAAGUUCAAGUCUUCCCGGGCCCACCAUUUGCCCAAGCAGAGGUAGUUUUGCUGGAGCGAGUGAGGGUCGGGAAAGAAUGACCUGACGCGGAAAGUUGCCGAACCUGGAUUUAGUCCGGGCGAUCGAGCUGAUGGGGCUGUAGCUCAGCUGGGAGAGCACCUGCUUUGCAAGCAGGGGGUCAGCGGUUCGAUCCCGCUCAGCUCCACCAAAUCGAUUGGUGUUGAGACUGACGGCAAGUGUCUUCUGAAGAAAAAAAGUUUGCAUCGACUUCGGUCGGAUGCCUGUUCUGCAUAUAUCGUGAAGAGAAGAUUGAUCUGGAGGCUUCCAGGUGUCGGGUUUUGCCCUUUUGGGUUUGAUCUGGCGUCCGAGCCCAGUUCUGCUGAAACCAUGGAUGGCCUAGCCGGCCGGAUAUGGUGGAGGGACUGGAGGUAGGAAGGAAGCUUGUCGCUCUGGAUCGUUUGUUGUUCGUUGUCCGCAAGGACGUCGUCUGAUGAACGAUCGGAUUACCGUUGCCUGACCGCGCGGUAUCGGAUCCAAUCUCGAGAAGCUGGUCUUAAGAUGAGAUCGCAAGCGGGCUGCUCGGCGUAGCUCCAAUAAAGCGAUCUUAUCGAACACGUCGAUGGCAUCAUUAGAAAGCAUUGGUUGUAAAAGGUAACCUCUGCAUUGCUGGUAAGGAAUUCCAGACCCAGCAAAGAUGAUGAGCAUUGGCAAUGAGAACGAUUAAGUGUCGUAAGGGCAUUUGGUGGAUGCCUUGGCAUGCACAGGCGAUGAAGGACGUGAUACGCUGCGAAAA
rnacentral:tRNA from 1 species